AACGCUGGCGGCGUGCUUAACACAUGCAAGUCGAACGAGAGGACAAGAGAAGCUUGCUUCUUUUGGAAUCGAGUGGCAAACGGGUGAGUAACACGUAAACAACCUGCCUUCAGGAUGGGGACAACAGACGGAAACGACUGCUAAUACCGAAUACGCUUGGAAGACCGCAUGAUUUUCCAAGGAAAGGGUGGCCUCUACCUGUAAGCUAUCGCCUGAAGAGGGGUUUGCGUCUGAUUAGGCAGUUGGUGAGGUAACGGCCCACCAAACCUACGAUCAGUAGCCGGUCUGAGAGGAUGAACGGCCACACUGGAACUGAGACACGGUCCAGACUCCUACGGGAGGCAGCAGUGGGGAAUCUUCCGCAAUGGGCGAAAGCCUGACGGAGCAACGCCGCGUGAGUGAUGACGGCCUUCGGGUUGUAAAGCUCUGUGAUCGGGGACGAACGGUCCGUAAGCUAAUACCUUAUGGAAGUGACGGUACCCGAAUAGCAAGCCACGGCUAACUACGUG
rnacentral:rRNA from 1 species